rnacentral:rRNA from 1 species
CGACGUGAGUAACCUGCCUCUAAGAGGGGAAGUAACAUUCUGAAAAGAAUGCUAAUACCGCAUAACAUAUAUUUAUCGCAUGGUAGAUAUAUCAAAGAUUUAUCGCUUAGAGAUGGACUCGCGUCCGAUUAGUUAGUUGGUGAGGUAACGGCUCACCAAGACCACGAUCGGUAGCCGGACUGAGAGGUUGAACGGCCACAUUGGGACUGAGACACGGCCCAG